CCUGGCGGCAAUAGCAAGUGGGUACCACCUGAUCCCAUCUCGAACUCAGAAGUGAAACCGCUUAGCGCCGAUGGUAGUGUGGGGUCUCCCCAUGUGAGAGUAGGACACCGCCAGGC
rnacentral:rRNA from 1 species